GACGAACGCUGGCGGCGUGCUUAACACAUGCAAGUCGAACGGAAAGGCCUCUUUCGGGGGGUACUCGAGUGGCGAACGGGUGAGUAACACGUGAGUAACCUGCCCUUGACUUUGGGAUAACUUCAGAAAACUGGGGCUAAUACCGGAUAGGAGCUCCUGCUGCAUGGUGGGGGUUGGAAAGUUUCGGCGGUUGGGGAUGAACUCGCGGCUUAUCAGCUUGUUGGUGGGGUAGUGGCUUACCAAGGCUUUGACGGGUAGCCGGCCUGAGAGGGUGACCGGCAACAUUGGGACUGAGAUACGGCCCAGACUCCUACGGGAGGCAGCAGUGGGGAAUAUUGCACAAUGGGUGGAAGCCUGAUGCAGCAACGCCGUGUGCGGGAUGACGGCCUUCGGGUUGUAAACCGCUUUCGCUCAUGACGAAGCUUUGUGUGACGGUAGUGGGUAAAGAAGCACCGGCUAACUACGUG
rnacentral:rRNA from 1 species